rnacentral:rRNA from 1 species
UACGUAGGGUGCGAGCGUUGUCCGGAUUUAUUGGGCGUAAAGAGCUCGUAGGCGGUUUGUCGCGUCGGCCGUGAAAUCUCCACGCUUAACGUGGAGCGUGCGGUCGAUACGGGCAGACUUGAGUUCGGUAGGGGAGACUGGAAUUCCUGGUGUAGCGGUGAAAUGCGCAGAUAUCAGGAGGAACACCGGUGGCGAAGGCGGGUCUCUGGGCCGAUACUGACACUGAGGAGCGAAAGCGUGGGGAGCGAACAGG